GUGAGGAGCAGCAACCUCUGCGUUUAUUCUUUUCCUUCCUACAGAAGGAAAGUGAGCGGGAGCUGGAGGGAGAAAGGAGUCUGCUCCUCCAACUGAGCUGAGGAGAGGUCACUGUGCCACCUGGGCUGCUGCUGCUAGGCUGUUUCUUCAGCGAUAAUAACCCUUGAUCUUAUUGGAGCCAGAGUCAUGAGGAGGUUCUCUUUUCUCCCUCUGCUUCCUGCUUUGGCAGAUCCCUUUCCUGAAGCAAUGAGGGUGGAACGCUUUGUCCCAAAGCCCCAGGUGGUUUCAGGAUGGAGAGGACUGCUCUGCUCGUGUCCCUGGAGCGUCCUGCUUCUGGCUGGUACUGGCUGGAACCCCUGCGGCUGCCCUCUACUUCCACCUCUGAGCCCCAGUUCAACCCUGCUUGACCCGGCAGACAUCUGUCUCCCGCAGGCUGUGGAUCCAAGGAAGGUGGAGACCACAUCUGUUGAGCAGAUCCCAGCAGCACCUGGUGCAUGGAACUGCUCUGGUCUUUGAAAAAACUGACCUUGAACUGGUGAUUCCCCUGUUACCUCCGGAGUGCAGGGUCUCCAGGGUGCCCCCCCACCACAAGCAGUAAAUCCAUUAGACAUCCUGAACAGGUGCUACCUGAAGGACUGGCCGGACACAUGACAAUGCCACUUUGCCAAGAAAAAGGCUUGUCUUCUCCAAGGACAUGAAGCCAGAAAAGGGGACAGUGCCCUUGAAGACAAGAUGGGAGCAAGCAUGUCCCUCUGUGUCCUGAGCUCACAGCUGCGAGGAUGAGCAGAAAUGCUAUUCGUCAUUGCAGAGAAGCUCCACAUUGAGCUUGUUGGCAAGUGGUUAGAGCUGACUGCUCACAUGUUAAUCCCACUGGAUGACGGUAAAGACUAUUACUCAAAUUAUGUUAGUCAAAUUACACAAGAUUUAUUUUCUGCCAGACAGGACUGCCUCCCCAACGUGGGGUUUGAAAUAACAGCAUGCAACACAGGAGAAAGUGGGGUUUAUAUAGCUUAAAACUGGGAUCGUGGGGUUUGUUUGUUUUGGGUUUGGGGUUUUUGAAAUGAAGUUUCUUUGUACCCGA